AUGAACGCUGGCGGCGUGCCUAAUACAUGCAAGUCGAGCGAACAGACGAGGAGCUUGCUCCUCUGACGUUAGCGGCGGACGGGUGAGUAACACGUGGAUAACCUACCUAUAAGACUGGGAUAACUUCGGGAAACCGGAGCUAAUACCGGAGAAUAUAUUGAACCGCAUGGUUCAAUAGUGAAAGACGGUUUUGCUGUCACUUAUAGAUGGAUCCGCGCCGCAUUAGCUAGUUGGUAAGGUAACGGCUUACCAAGGCAACGAUGCGUAGCCGACCUGAGAGGGUGAUCGGCCACACUGGAACUGAGACACGGUCCAGACUCCUACGGGAGGCAGCAGUAGGGAAUCUUCCGCAAUGGGCGAAAGCCUGACGGAGCAACGCCGCGUGAGUGAUGAAGGUCUUCGGAUCGUAAAACUCUGUUAUUAGGGAAGAACAAAUGUGUAAGUAACUAUGCACGUCUUGACGGUACCUAAUCAGAAAGCCACGGCUAACUACGUG
rnacentral:rRNA from 1 species